rnacentral:rRNA from 1 species
UGCCAGCCGCCGCGGUAAUACGAAGGUGGCGAGCGUUGUUCGGAUUUACUGGGCGUAAAGAGCACGUAGGCGGUUGGGAAAGCCUCUUGGGAAAUCUCUCGGCUCAACCGAGAAAGUUCGAGAGGAACUAUUCAGCUAGAGGACGGGAGAGGAGCGCGGAAUUUCCGGUGUAGCGGUGAAAUGCGUAGAUAUCGGGAAGAAGGCCGGUGGCGAAGGCGGCGCUCUGGAACGUACCUGACGCUGAGGUGCGAAAGCGUGGGGAGCAAACAGGAUUAGAUA